rnacentral:rRNA from 1 species
UCUACGGGUGGCAGCAGUGGGGAAUAUUGGACAAUGGGGGAAACCCUGAUCCAGCGACGCCGCGUGAGUGAAGAAGUAUUUCGGUACGUAAAGCUCUAUCAGCAGGAAAGAAAAUGACGGUACCUGACUAAGACGCCCCGGCUAACUACGUGCCAGCAGCCGCGGUAAUACGUAGGGGGCAAGCGUUAUCCGGAUUUACUGGGUGUAAAGGGGGCGUAGACGGAAGCGCAAGUCUGGAGUGAAAUGCCGGGGCUCAACCCCGGAACUGCUCUGGAAACUGUGAAGCUGGAGUGCAGGAGAGGGAAGCGGAAUUCCUGGGGUAGCGGUGAAAAGGGUAGAUAUCAGGAGGAACACCGGAGGCGAAGGCGGCUUACUGGACUGUAACUGACGUUGAGGCUCGAAGGCGUGGGGAGCAAACAGGAUUAGAAACCCGGGUAGUC